AGCGAACGCUGGCGGCAGGCCUAACACAUGCAAGUCGAGCGCCCCGCAAGGGGAGCGGCAGACGGGAGAGUAACACGUGGGAACGUACCCUUUGGUUCGGAACAACCCAGGGAAACUUGGGCUAAUACCGGAUAAGCCCCUACGGGGAAAGAUUCAUCGCCGAAGGAUCGGCCCGCGUCUGAUUAGCUAGUUGGUGGGGUAACGGCCCACCAAGGCGACGAUCGGUAGCUGGUCUGAGAGGAUGAUCAGCCUCACUGGGACUGAGACACGGCCCAGACUCCUACGGGAGGCAGCAGUGGGGAAUAUUGGACAAUGGGCGCAAGCCUGAUCCAGCCAUGCCGCGUGGGUGAUGAAGGCCCUAGGGUUGUAAAGCCCUUUCGGCGGGGAAGAUAAUGACGGUACCCGCAGAAGAAGCCCCGGCUAACUUCGUGCCAGCCGCCGCGGUAA
rnacentral:rRNA from 1 species